rnacentral:rRNA from 1 species
AGAGUUUGAUCAUGGCUCAGGAUAAACGCUGGCGGCGCACAUAAGACAUGCAAGUCGAACGAACUUAACCAUUGGUUUACUAUUGGAGCGGUUAGUGGCGGACUGGUGAGUAACACGUAAGCAACCUGCCUAUCAGAGGGGAACAACAGUUAGAAAUGACUGCUAAUACCGCAUAUGCCUUAGAAUCACAUGGUUCAAAAGGGAAGGAGCAAUCCGCUGAUAGAUGGGCUUGCGUCUGAUUAGCUAGUUGGUGGGGUAACGGCCUACAAGGCGACGAUCAGUAGCCGAACUGAGAGGUUGAACGGCCACAUUGGGACUGAGAUACGGCCAGACUCCUACGGGAGCA